rnacentral:rRNA from 1 species
GGUUAAGCGACUAAGCGUACACGGUGGAUGCCCUGGCAGUCAGAGGCGAUGAAGGACGUGCUAAUCUGCGAUAAGCGUCGGUAAGGUGAUAUGAACCGUUAUAACCGGCGAUUUCCGAAUGGGGAAACCCAGUGUGAUUCGUCACACUAUCAUUACGUGAAUACAUAGCGUAAUGAAGCGAACCGGGGGAACUGAAACAUCUAAGUACCCCGAGGAAAAGAAAUCAACCGAGAUUCCCCCAGUAGCGGCGAGCGAACGGGGAGCAGCCCAGAGUCUGAAUCAGCUUGUGUGUUAGUGGAACGGUCUGGAAAGUCCGACGGUACAGGGUGAUAGUCCCGUACACCAAAAUGCACAGGUUGUGAACUCGAAGAGUAGGGCGGGACACGUGGUAUCCUGUCUGAAUAUGGGGGGACCAUCCUCCAAGGCUAAAUACUCCUGACUGACCGAUAGUGAACCAGUACCGUGAGGGAAAGGCGAAAAGAACCCCGGCGAGGGGAGUGAAAAAGAACCUGAAACCGUGUACGUACAAGCAGUGGGAGCAUCCUUUUGGGUGUGACUGCGUACCUUUUGUAUAAUGGGUCAGCGACUUAUAUUCUGUAGCAAGGUUAACCGUAUAGGGGAGCCGAAGGGAAACCGAGUCUUAACUGGGCGUUAAGUUGCAGGGUAUAGACCCGAAACCCGGUGAUCUAGCCAUGGGCAGGUUGAAGGUUGGGUAACACUAACUGGAGGACCGAACCGACUAAUGUUGAAAAAUUAGCGGAUGACUUGUGGCUGGGGGUGAAAGGCCAAUCAAACCGGGAGAUAGCUGGUUCUCCCCGAAAGCUAUUUAGGUAGCGCCUCGUGAAUUCAUCUUCGGGGGUAGAGCACUGUUUCGGCUAGGGGGUCAUCCCGACUUACCAACCCGAUGCAAACUGCGAAUACCGAAGAAUGUUAUCACGGGAGACACACGGCGGGUGCUAACGUCCGUCGUGAAGAGGGAAACAACCCAGACCGCCAGCUAAGGUCCCAAAGUCAUGGUUAAGUGGGAAACGAUGUGGGAAGGCACAGACAGCCAGGAUGUUGGCUUAGAAGCAGCCAUCAUUUAAAGAAAGCGUAAUAGCUCACUGGUCGAGUCGGCCUGCGCGGAAGAUGUAACGGGGCUAAACCAUGCACCGAAGCUGCGGCAGCGACACUAUGUGUUGUUGGGUAGGGGAGCGUUCUGUAAGCCGUUGAAGGUGUAUCGUGAGGUAUGCUGGAGGUAUCAGAAGUGCGAAUGCUGACAUAAGUAACGAUAAUGCGGGUGAAAAACCCGCACGCCGGAAGACCAAGGGUUCCUGUCCAACGUUAAUCGGGGCAGGGUGAGUCGACCCCUAAGGCGAGGCCGAAAGGCGUAGUCGAUGGGAAACAGGUUAAUAUUCCUGUACUUGGUGUUACUGCGAAGGGGGGACGGAGAAGGCUAUGUUAGCCGGGCGACGGUUGUCCCGGUUUAAGCAUGUAGGCGGAGGUUCCAGGUAAAUCCGGUACCUUUUUAACGCUGAGGUGUGAUGACGAGGCACUACGGUGCUGAAGUAACAAAUGCCCUGCUUCCAGGAAAAGCCUCUAAGCAUCAGGUAACACGAAAUCGUACCCCAAACCGACACAGGUGGUCAGGUAGAGAAUACCAAGGCGCUUGAGAGAACUCGGGUGAAGGAACUAGGCAAAAUGGUGCCGUAACUUCGGGAGAAGGCACGCUGAUAUGUAGGUGAAGUGAUUUACUCAUGGAGCUGAAAUCAGUCGAAGAUACCAGCUGGCUGCAACUGUUUAUUAAAAACACAGCACUGUGCAAACACGAAAGUGGACGUAUACGGUGUGACGCCUGCCCGGUGCCGGAAGGUUAAUUGAUGGGGUUAUCCGUAAGGAGAAGCUCUUGAUCGAAGCCCCGGUAAACGGCGGCCGUAACUAUAACGGUCCUAAGGUAGCGAAAUUCCUUGUCGGGUAAGUUCCGACCUGCACGAAUGGCGUAAUGAUGGCCAGGCUGUCUCCACCCGAGACUCAGUGAAAUUGAACUCGCUGUGAAGAUGCAGUGUACCCGCGGCAAGACGGAAAGACCCCGUGAACCUUUACUAUAGCUUGACACUGAACACUGGUCCUUGAUGUGUAGGAUAGGUGGGAGGCUUUGAAGUGUGGACGCCAGUCUGCAUGGAGCCAUCCUUGAAAUACCACCCUUUAAUGGCUGGUGUUCUAACGUGGACCCGUAAUCCGGGUUGCGGACAGUGUCUGGUGGGUAGUUUGACUGGGGCGGUCUCCUCCUAAAGAGUAACGGAGGAGCACGAAGGUUAGCUAAUCCUGGUCGGACAUCAGGAGGUUAGUGCAAAGGCAUAAGCUAGCUUGACUGCGAGAGUGACGGCUCGAGCAGGUGCGAAAGCAGGUCUUAGUGAUCCGGUGGUUCUGAAUGGAAGGGCCAUCGCUCAACGGAUAAAAGGUACUCCGGGGAUAACAGGCUGAUACCGCCCAAGAGUUCAUAUCGACGGCGGUGUUUGGCACCUCGAUGUCGGCUCAUCACAUCCUGGGGCUGAAGUAGGUCCCAAGGGUAUGGCUGUUCGCCAUUUAAAGUGGUACGCGAGCUGGGUUUAGAACGUCGUGAGACAGUUCGGUCCCUAUCUGCCGUGGGCGCUGGAGAAUUGAGGGGGGCUGCUCCUAGUACGAGAGGACCGGAGUGGACGCAUCACUGGUGUUCGGGUUGUCAUGCCAAUGGCAUUGCCCGGUAGCUAAAUGCGGAAGAGAUAAGUGCUGAAAGCAUCUAAGCACGAAACUUGCCCCGAGAUGAGUUCUCCCUGAGACUUUAAGUCUCCUGAAGGAACGUUGAAGACGACGACGUUGAUAGGUCGGGUGUGUAAG